UAGCCCACUCUACGUCUCCACCCGUACCCUGUCUUUUCUAAUCAGGUGCGAGCGGUUCACGUUCCUCUCUCGUCAGCCCCUCCUCGUUGGCAAUUGCGGUUUGCGGAGGCGGCGGCAGCCAUGUCGAUGGCGCCGGAGGGACAAUCUUGAAGCAAGGGCUACCCCUCUCUCUCCCGCAUGGAUUAUUCCCCCUUUCCCUCUUCAUGCGGUAGCGAACAGGAGGCGAACUGGGCAGUGCAUCGAUUUGGUGCGACGUCGGCAGCGGCAACGACCUUUUCCGGCGUCCCUCUCCAUCGUCAGCGGUCUUCUCAUUGGGUAAAGAAAGGGUAAAAGACCAAGAAAUUAAGGAGAUGAAAGAGAAGAGAUGAGCUUGCAUACUGAAGGGGGUGAUGGAGAAAACCUUAGCUCGUUUGUGGGAUCAAAUCAAGGAGGUGGGGAUCACGCAGGAGGAGAAGCUGCAGAGGAGGAACAACACCAGAGUAUCUUCUUAGAUCCAGCCAAACGUGAUAGCCCUGUUUCUUGUCUAUCUUCUCUGUUUUAGAUGAACUGUUAUUCCUUAUUUCUUCUUUAGAGCUCCACUGCUACAAAAAAACAAGAACCAGUUCCGGCCAUUUUCACUUGGAAUGGAGUUGGGAUGCUGCUACUAUAUUUAGGAUGGUAUCCCAUCAUUCUGAAUCUGCUUCAGAACUGAACACUA